AUUUAAAUAAUUUAAUUAAAAUAUUGAUUUGUGGAAUCAAAAAUAUAAAUUUAAAAUUAUUUUAAAUA
rnacentral:tRNA from 1 species